rnacentral:rRNA from 1 species
GAUGAACGCUGGCGGCGUGCCUAAUACAUGCAAGUCGAACGCUUCACUUCGGUGAAGAGUGGCGAACGGGUGAGUAAUACAUAAGUAACCUGGCAUCUACAGGGGGAUAACUGAUGGAAACGUCAGCUAAGACCGCAUAGGUGUAGAGAUCGCAUGAACUCUAUAUGAAAAGUGCUACGGGACUGGUAGAUGAUGGACUUAUGGCGCAUUAGCUUGUUGGUAGGGUAACGGCCUACCAAGGCGACGAUGCGUAGCCGACCUGAGAGGGUGACCGGCCACACUGGGACUGAGACACGGCCCAGACUCCUACGGGAGGCAGCAGUAGGGAAUUUUCGGCAAUGGGGGAAACCCUGACCGAGCAACGCCGCGUGAAGGAAGAAGUAAUUCGUUAUGUAAACUUCUGUCAUAGAGGAAGAACGGUGGAUAUAGGGAAUGAUAUCCAAGUGACGGUACUCUAUAAGAAGGCCACGGCUAACUACGUG